AGAGUUUGAUCCUGGCUCAGGAUGAACGCUGGCGGCAUGCCUAAUACAUGCAAGUCGAACGAGAGGAAGGAAAGCUUGCUUUCCUGAAUCUAGUGGCGAACGGGUGAGUAACACGUAGGUAACCUGCCCAUGUGCCCGGGAUAACUUCUGGAAACGGAUGCUAAAACCGGAUAGGUAGCAGACAAGCAUUUGACUGCUAUUAAAGUGGCCUUGGCCAUGAACAUGGAUGGACCUGCGGUGCAUUAGCUGGUUGGUGAGGUAACGGCCCACCAAGGCGACGAUGCAUAGCCGGCCUGAGAGGGCGGACGGCCACAUUGGGACUGAGACACGGCCCAAACUCCUACGGGAGGCAGCAGUAGGGAAUUUUCGUCAAUGGGGGGAACCCUGAACGAGCAAUGCCGCGUGAGUGAGGAAGGUCUUCGGAUCGUAAAGCUCUGUUGUAAGAGAAAAACGGCACUCAUAGGGAAUGAUGAGUGAGUGAUGGUAUCUUACCAGAAAGUCACGGCUAACUACGUGCCAGCAGCCGCGGUAAUACGUAGGUGGCGAGCGUUAUCCGGAAUGAUUGGGCGUAAAGGGUGCGUAGGUGGCAGAUCAAGUCUGGAGUAAAAGGUAUGGGCUCAACCCGUACUGGCUCUGGAAACUGAUCAGCUAGAGAACAGAAGAGGACGGCGGAACUCCAUGUGUAGCGGUAAAAUGCGUAGAUAUAUGGAAGAACACCGGUGGCGAAGGCGGCCGUCUGGUCUGGAUUCUGACACUGAAGCACGAAAGCGUGGGGAGCAAAUAGGAUUAGAUACCCUAGUAGUCCACGCCGUAAACGAUGAGAACUAGGUGUUGGGGGAAUAACUCAGUGCCGCAGUUAACGCAGUAAGUUCUCCGCCUGGGGAGUAUGCACGCAAGUGUGAAACUCAAAGGAAUUGACGGGGGCCCGCACAAGCGGUGGAGUAUGUGGUUUAAUUCGACGCAACGCGAAGAACCUUACCAGGUCUUGACAUUGAUCGCCAUUCACAGAAAUGUGAAGUUCUCCUUCGGGAGACGAGAAAACAGGUGGUGCACGGCUGUCGUCAGCUCGUGUCGUGAGAUGUUGGGUUAAGUCCCGCAACGAGCGCAACCCCUAUCUUAUGUUACCAGCACGUUAUGGUGGGGACUCAUGAGAGACCGCCGCGGACAACGCGGAGGAAGGUGGGGAUGACGUCAAGUCAUCAUGCCCCUUAUGACCUGGGCUACACACGUACUACAAUGGGUGUCAACAAAGAGAAGCGAAACCGCGAGGUGGAGCGAACCUCAAAAACACACCCCCAGUUCAGAUUGCAGGCUGCAACCCGCCUGCAUGAAGUAGGAAUCGCUAGUAAUCGCGGGUCAGCAUACCGCGGUGAAUACGUUCCCGGGCCUUGUACACACCGCCCGUCACACUAUGAGAG
rnacentral:rRNA from 1 species